CUAAGAGGCAAAAUGGCAGACUUUAACUGUUGACAUGACCUCCUUGGAACAUUCAGACUGAGAACUACCUGUAAUUGGAGCGAAAAAAAUCUUCUUUUGGAAACUCCUUAAGAUAAAGUCUGCCUUACUGCACCCUAUUGAGGUGAGGAUUUCUUCAGAAGAUCCCACAGUUCUGGAGGCUGGAGAGUCCAAGGUCAGGAGGCUACAUCUGCUUGGCAUCUGUUGGUUGGAAUGUGGGUAUGGUUGCUGGAGGUGAAAUAGCAAUUCUGAACCAGGAGCACAUUUUGGAAAUGAGGACACCACUGCACAACAACAGAGUAAAAGAAGUCUGUGUCCUGAAACCGUGAAACACCAUUCCAGUCCUGUAGCUCCUGCCUUAUUUUAACAAGAGACAGAAAGAAAUUCCUAUUUUACCUAAG